CAGGCCUAACACAUGCAAGUCGAACGGUAACAGGGAGCUUGCUCCGCUGACGAGUGGCGAACGGGUGAGUAAUGUAUCGGAACGUACCAUUCAGUGGGGGAUAACGUAGCGAAAGUGACGCUAAUACCGCAUAUUCUGUGCGCAGGAAAGCAGGGGAUCGCAAGACCUUGCGCUGAUUGAGCGGCCGAUAUCAGAUUAGCUAGUUGGUGAGGUAAAAGCUCACCAAGGCGACGAUCUGUAGCGGGUCUGAGAGGAUGAUCCGCCACACUGGAACUGAGACACGGUCCAGACUCCUACGGGGAGGCAGCAGUGGGGGAAUUUUGGGACAAUGGGGGGCAACCCUGAUCCAGCCAUGCCGCGUGAGUGAAGAAGGCCUUCGGGUUGUAAAGCUCUUUCAGCCGGGAAGAAAAUGCAUGGGUUAAUACCCUGUGCAGAUGACGGUACCGGAAUAAGAAGCACCGGCUAACUACGUGCCAGCAGCCGCGGUAAUACGUAGGGUGCGAGCGUNAAUCGGAAUUACUGGGCGUAAAGCGUGCGCAGGCGGUUUUGUAAGACAGGCGUGAAACCCCCGGGCUUAACCUGGGAACUGCGUNUGUGACUGCAGGCUAGAGUACGGCAGAGGGGGUGGAAUUCCACGUGUAGCAGUGAAAUGCGUAGAGAUGUGGAGGAACACCAAUGGCGAAGGCAGCCCCCUGGGUCGAUACUGACGCUCAUGCACGAAAGCGUGGGUAGCAAACAGGAUUAGAUACCCUGGUAGUCCACGCCCUAAACGAUGUCAACUAGGUGUUGGGAGGGUAAAACCUUUUAGUACCGUAGCUAACGCGAGAAGUUGACCGCCUGGGGAGUACGGCCGCAAGGUUAAAACUCAAAGGAAUUGACGGGGACCCGCACAAGCGGUGGAUGAUGUGGAUUAAUUCGAUGCAACGCGAAAAACCUUACCUACCCUUGACAUGUCAGGAACUUUCCAGAGAUGGAUUGGUGCCCGAAAGGGAGCCUGAACACAGGUGCUGCAUGGCUGUCGUCAGCUCGUGUCGUGAGAUGUUGGGUUAAGUCCCGCAACGAGCGCAACCCUUGUCGUUAAUUGCCAUCAUUUAGUUGGGCACUUUAACGAGACUGCCCGGUGACAAACCGGAGGAAGGUGGGGAUGACGUCAAGUCCUCAUGGCCCUUAUGGGUAGGGCUUCACACGUCAUACAAUGGUCGGUACAAAGGGUCGCCAACCCGCGAGGGGGAGCCAAUCCCAUAAAGCCGAUCGUAGUCCGGAUUGUAGGCUGCAACUCGCCUGCAUGAAGUCGGAAUCGCUAGUAAUCGUGGAUCAGCAUGUCACGGUGAAUACGUUCCCGGGUCUUGUACACACCGCCCGUC
rnacentral:rRNA from 1 species